rnacentral:rRNA from 1 species
UACGAAGGGGGCUAGCGUUGCUCGGAAUCACUGGGCGUAAAGCGCCCGUAGGCGGAUUGUUAAGUCGGGGGUGAAAUCCUGGAGCUCAACUCCAGAACUGCCUUCGAUACUGGCUAUCUUGAGUACGGAAGAGGUAUGUGGAACUCCGAGUGUAGAGGUGAAAUUCGUAGAUAUUCGGAAGAACACCAGUGGCGAAGGCGACAUACUGGUCCGUUACUGACGCUGAGGCUCGAAAGCGGGGGGAGCAAACAGG